GGGACACGUGGUAUCCUGUCUGAAUAUGGGGGGACCAUCCUCCAAGGCUAAAUACUCCUGACUGACCGAUAGUGAACCAGUACCGUGAGGGAAAGGCGAAAAGAACCCCGGCGAGGGGAGUGAAAAAGAACCUGAAACCGUGUACGUACAAGCAGUGGGAGCACGCUUAGGCGUGUGACUGCGUACCUUUUGUAUAAUGGGUCAGCGACUUAUAUUCUGUAGCAAGGUUAACCGAAUAGGGGAGCCGAAGGGAAACCGAGUCUUAACUGGGCGUUAAGUUGCAGGGUAUAGACCCGAAACCCGGUGAUCUAGCCAUGGGCAGGUUGAAGGUUGGGUAACACUAACUGGAGGACCGAACCGACUAAUGUUGAAAAAUUAGCGGAUGACUUGUGGCUGGGGGUGAAAGGCCAAUCAAACCGGGAGAUAGCUGGUUCUCCCCGAAAGCUAUUUAGGUAGCGCCUCGUGAAUUCAUCUCCGGGGGUAGAGCACUGUUUCGGCAAGGGGGUCAUCCCGACUUACCAACCCGAUGCAAACUGCGAAUACCGGAGAAUGUUAUCACGGGAGACACACGGCGGGUGCUAACGUCCGUCGUGAAGAGGGAAACAACCCAGACCGCCAGCUAAGGUCCCAAAGUCAUGGUUAAGUGGGAAACGAUGUGGGAAGGCCCAGACAGCCAGGAUGUUGGCUUAGAAGCAGCCAUCAUUUAAAGAAAGCGUAAUAGCUCACUGGUCGAGUCGGCCUGCGCGGAAGAUGUAACGGGGCUAAACCAUGCACCGAAGCUGCGGCAGCGACACUAUGUGUUGUUGGGUAGGGGAGCGUUCUGUAAGCCUGUGAAGGUGUGCUGUGAGGCAUGCUGGAGGUAUCAGAAGUGCGAAUGCUGACAUAAGUAACGAUAAAGCGGGUGAAAAGCCCGCUCGCCGGAAGACCAAGGGUUCCUGUCCAACGUUAAUCGGGGCAGGGUGAGUCGACCCCUAAGGCGAGGCCGAAAGGCGUAGUCGAUGGGAAACAGGUUAAUAUUCCUGUACUUGGUGUUACUGCGAAGGGGGGACGGAGAAGGCUAUGUUGGCCGGGCGACGGUUGUCCCGGUUUAAGCGUGUAGGCUGGUUUUCCAGGCAAAUCCGGAAAAUCAAGGCUGAGGCGUGAUGACGAGGCACUACGGUGCUGAAGCAACAAAUGCCCUGCUUCCAGGAAAAGCCUCUAAGCAUCAGGUAACAUC
rnacentral:rRNA from 1 species